AAAAAGGUUUACAUUGGGCAAACGGGGCGAUGUUUAAAUGAAAGACUAAAAGAACACGAAAGCUGUGAAGA
rnacentral:lncRNA from 1 species